rnacentral:rRNA from 1 species
AGUGAACGCUGGCGGCAUGCCUAACACAUGCAAGUCGAACGGCAGCACAGCAGUAGCAAUACUGUGGGUGGCGAGUGGCGGACGGGUGAGGAAUACAUCGGAAUCUGCCCGGUUGUGGGGGAUAACGUAGGGAAACUUACGCUAAUACCGCAUACGAUCGAGAGAUGAAAGCGGGGGACCGUAAGGCCUCGCGCAGUCGGAUGAGCCGAUGUCGGAUUAGCUAGUUGGCGGGGUAAAGGCCCACCAAGGCGACGAUCCGUAGCUGGUCUGAGAGGAUGAUCAGCCACACUGGGACUGAGACACGGCCCAGACUCCUACGGGAGGCAGCAGUGGGGAAUAUUGGACAAUGGGGGCAACCCUGAUCCAGCAAUGCCGCGUGUGUGAAGAAGGCCUUCGGGUUGUAAAGCACUUUUAUCUGGAACGAAACACGCAGGGUGAAUAUCCCUGCGGACUGACGGUACCAGAGGAAUAAGCACCGGCUAACUUCGUGCCAGCAGCCGCGGUAAUACGAAGGGUGCAAGCGUUACUCGGAAUUACUGGGCGUAAAGCGUGCGUAGGUGGUUUCUUAAGUCUGCUGUGAAAGCCCCGGGCUCAACCUGGGAAUUGCAGUGGAUACUGGGGAGCUAGAGUGCGGUAGAGGGUAGUGGAAUUCCCGGUGUAGCGGUGAAAUGCGUAGAGAUCGGGAGGAACACCAGUGGCGANNNCGGCUACCUGGACCAGCACUGACACUGAGGCACG